GAGUUUGAUCUUGGCUCAGAUUGAACGCUGGCGGCAGGCCUAACACAUGCAAGUCGAGCGGUAGAGAGAAGCUUGCUUCUCUUGAGAGCGGCGGACGGGUGAGUAAUGCCUAGGAAUCUGCCUGGUAGUGGGGGAUAACGCUCGGAAACGGACGCUAAUACCGCAUACGUCCUACGGGAGAAAGCAGGGGACCUUCGGGCCUUGCGCUAUCAGAUGAGCCUAGGUCGGAUUAGCUAGUUGGUGAGGUAAUGGCUCACCAAGGCGACGAUCCGUAACUGGUCUGAGAGGAUGAUCAGUCACACUGGAACUGAGACACGGUCCAGACUCCUACGGGAGGCAGCAGUGGGGAAUAUUGGACAAUGGGCGAAAGCCUGAUCCAGCCAUGCCGCGUGUGUGAAGAAGGUCUUCGGAUUGUAAAGCACUUAAGUUGGGAGAAGGGCAGUAAAUUAAUACUUUGCUGUUUUGACGUUACCGACUAGAAUAAGCACCGGCUAACUCU
rnacentral:rRNA from 1 species